rnacentral:rRNA from 1 species
GACGAACGCUGGCGGCGUGCUUAACACAUGCAAGUCGAACGGAAAGGCCCUGCGUUUGUGGGGUGCUCGAUUGGCGAACGGGGGAGUAACACGUGAGCAACCUGCCCUUGACUUUGGGAGAACUUAAGGAAACUGGGGUUAAUAUCGUAUAGCAGCUCCUGUUGCAUUGAGGGGGUUGGAAAGUUGCGGCUGGUGGGGAUGGAUGCGCGGCUUAUCAGCUUGUUGGUGGGGUAGGUGCUUACCAAGGCUUGGACGGGUAGCCGGCAUGAGAGGGUGACCGGCCACAUUGGGCCUGAGAUACGGCCCAGACUCCUACGGGAGGCAACAGUGGGGAGUCUUACACAGUGGGAGCGAGCGUGAUGCAACGACGCCGCGUGUGGGAUGACCGCCUUCGGGUUGUAAACCGCUUUCGCCUGUGACGCAGCGUGAGUGACGGUAAUGAGUGAAGAAGCACCGGCUAACUACGUG